UACGGAGGGUGCAAGCGUUAAUCGGAAUUACUGGGCGUAAAGGGAGCGUAGGUGGACCUUUAAGUGAGAUGUGAAAUACCCAGGGCUCAACCUGGAAACUGCAUUUGAAACUGGCAAGCUUGAGUCUCGUAGAGGGGGGUAGAAUUCCAGGUGUAGCGGUGAAAUGCGUAGAGAUCUGGAGGAAUACCGGUGGCGAAGGCGGCCCCCUGGACGAAGACUGACGCUCAGGUGCGAAAGCGUGGGGGGCAAACAGG
rnacentral:rRNA from 1 species